UAGUUGCAGGAGGAAUAGCGUAACUUAAGCCAGUAUUUACUGCUAAUUCAUGCAAAUUCCUUUCAUAAGAGAGAUGUGCAAUCCAGCUACGAAGAACCUUCUUAUCUUGAAACCAUAUGCAUUAAUUUGUGAUGACUUCUUAUCCACUGAAAACAGGGAACUUGUCUCAUCGUCUUAAAACAGAGUUUCCACAUAAAUACAACCUUUGAUUCAUGACAUUUAUUAUCAAAUAUUUUACUAGAAAUUAAUGGAUGAUUCACCAUUCUUUUAUUCUGUUGUACUAUAUAUGAGCAUAGAUAUUAAUUAAUGCUUCGUGUUGCGUUUAAUCUUUGAGCAUUCCUUCAAGCAGCUUUUGUGCUUCAGCUUCAUCUGUCAUAUAAAGAGAGAGUGUUAUCUAUUGUCAUGUGUGAAUAUUUCUAUAGAGAAACCAACUGGGUUGGAUGCAGUUAAUUUAAUACCGGAGUUACUUUAAAAAUUAUAUCAUAUCGAGUUCGGAUUCCGGUCGAAAUCAAUUAAAAGAAAAAAUAACUUGAUACUUAAUCUGUUUGAUCUAUCUGUACUUUCUUCAAAUGCUAAUUAAUGAAUUUAAUAGGGUAUAUGAGAUGACAUACUAUUAUUUUCUUUUUCUUUAGAAAGAGAAAAAGGAUGGAAAGGAAGAGGGUUACCAUGGGUGAAUUUGGCAUGGUUUGGCAAGUGUCCAGAACAUUCUUCAUCACAAUAAUCUGUGCACAUUUGUGGCAUCAAAGUCUUUUUGUUAUCGAUGCAAGCCAUGUAACAAUUCGUAUAACAACGCCGAAACUCAUCGUUUCCCCUGCCCCAAAUUUCUAAAUCUGCAAUUGCUUGCCCCGACAAUACUAUAAGUAGCACCAUCGCUACUGCUAUAGUACCAUUAACCCUACCUUUUCCCUCCAUUUUAUUUUUCCUAUAUUACUUGUCG
rnacentral:lncRNA from 1 species